GAUUGGCUGUUGCGGCGCCUGCUGUAAGGAAACGUCACAACACAAAUAACCGCGGCAAGGCAGCAUCUCUUAGCUCUUAAUGUUUCCAAGAGUCACGCGCAACAGAAUGAUGCGUAAAGGCAAAAGGAAAAGCGCUACUUUUUACUUGGUUGCAGGUUUUAUUCUAGCAUGUUAUUUGGCGCCAACGAUAGACUGUUAUCGACUAAAGAAAACAGGAAGACGAGAAGGGCGAAACGAAGCCAAAGCAGCCAAAACGAUAGGUGUCCAAGAGGGGAAAAUUGUGUUCGGGAGGGUUUUUGAGAAGGGGUCAGGCCCUGAGUCACAAGUCGUAGACGGGACCAGCAAAGCGUCUUCAAACACUUCUGUGGAGGAUGAAACGGCUUAUCAAGCCGACUUUGCGGGUUGGUCAAAAGGACAAGCACAUGAUGCUAACUCUAAAGAAGCCUCGUGGAAGCGCAUGGUACCUUCCCUGCAGUGUGGUCGGGACCAGAUGAAGUUCCGAGCAAUGGGACCUGGAGCUUCACAGUUCGCAGUUGAACAAGCAAAUGCAGCUCCACUGCCUUUGUCCCAGGUCCCUUCCACCUGUGGCUACAACAUGCAGAGGAACUCCCUUGCACUUCUUAUGUUGGUUCCAUAUGAUGGCUGCAAUAUGGUUCAAGAGGGUGGAAGUUACAUGCUGCAGAUGCGUUGGCAGGGAAUCCCAGUGUCACUGUGGUGCCCCAAACCUGCAGCACCUGAUCCCAUGCCUGCUGACCCACAGAUGCCCAGCAAGAGCCCAGAUGUUUCAAAUCCCAAAAUCCCCCCACCCUAUUUCUUUCCACAUUAUAUGCAUUAUCAGUACCCAUCAGUGGUUGUACCAGAGCCUACGACGGCAACAACCACAACGACCACAAAGAAACCAGAGAUGCCUAAAUUUCCGCAAUACCCCUCUUACUUCCCUCCUUUAUAUCCCUACUUUCCUGCCCCUCUUCCAGUCACAGCAGCAACGCCAACUACAACUACCACUGCAAAGCCAGCAGCCACAGCUCCUCCUCCAGCAUUUCGUCCUUUCUACCCACCUUUCUUUCCUCCCUUUCCUUGGCCCCUCCCUGGGCAUCCACCAGCGACUAUAGCGGCCACAACUACUCAAACAACCACACCUAAACCAACUACUAAACCCCAGGUGCCACAGUUUCCACCAUACAUGCCCAUGCCUUUUUAUCCUCCAUACCCUCCUUAUCCUAUUUUCCCUCCCUAUCCACAUCUUCCAACCACUAAGCCAAAGACGACAACAACCCCGCCGACAACCACUACAACAGAGAAAACGAACCCUGUGCUGACUCCAGCACCGUCACACCAUCACCCACACUUUCAUCCACAUGUUCACCUCCCAUAUCCAUUUAUGCCAUUUCCCCCUCCUUCAGGCUAGCCUGCUGAAACUGUAAUAAAUGGGUUUUGAAUAACAGAAGUGGCUUUGUCUGUCUUGAGUAUUGGAAAUUCUAGUUGAAGGGUUAAAGUGAAAAGGUUGGUGCUCAUAUUAAAGGUCUUUACGCUUGACAAAUGCAAGCACUUAUCCUACUGCCAUAUGGUCCCUAGGUGUUUGAGCUUAACUGAUGCAUUAAUUGAGCAUUAUUUGAGUAGGAUUUAACACCUAUUUAAAAGUAGCUAGGAAGCAUUUUGAAACCACUGGGAAUUAAAUCCAGUGACCUAUGAAAGAUGAGGUGACAGCGUGUAAUUUCCUUAAGGAGAAUGAAGGAUAGAAAUAAUGACAGUCUAAGGAAUGACUUAGUGAUUUAGCAAGCUUCUCAGGCAUUCUGUGGUCACCUGCUUAUUAAUAAACAUUUUUCAUUAAUAAACAAAGUAAUCAUUUCCAGAAGGUAAAGUGUGUCUAUAUUACCUAUGAAAAUAUCCACGAUCCCCUACAUUUAAUUUUAGUACUUUAAAUCAGAGUGGAACUUUUUCAUUUCAAAAGAAUUUUCUAUAAAUUGUUCUUUUUCAAGAACAUAUCACAGCAGCUCCUUAGCAUGACAUUAUUUUGAUCUCACAUUUUCUUAUCCUUUUAUUCUUCUCAUUGCCAUUUUUUCCUCUUUCCUACACUCGUACAUAUGUCCGGCAAAUUGUUUUUGCCCUGCAUUGUCUGGUGCACCUUAAAAAGCUGGAGCAGCAAAAUCACAUUUCAUGGCAGCCUGUUACUAGAUUACUCGAUUUAAUGUAGUAAUGUUAUUGGUUUAUUUUUAAUUCAUUCUAUUUGUGUCAUGUUCAUAAAUAUUAACAUGACCUGACAUCAAAAAUGACCUAUAAAAGAAGUGGCCAGUCUCCUAUUUCUCAUGCCAUAUAAAAUGCAGAGCUGACUAGAGAUCAAGGAGUCUUAACAAGCCCACCUGUUGUGACCUUAAUUAACACAGGUGCAAGCUCAAGCUGAAGUUGAAUUUGAUUGGUUGAUUACCUGAUGCCAACUUGUUCCCAGUUUAAAAAGCUGUCAUUCAGUUAUUCUGUGUCAUGAUAAAGUGCUUUCCAUCUGCUCCAGGUGUGCAGCUCCAGUAUGGAAGGUGACGAUGGAAGGAGCCGCAGAUUAUGUCAAACUGUAGCUGUAAUAUUGCUCCUGUGUUCCUUGCUCCAGAGUGUAACUUGUUUUAGCUUGGAAGGGCCACGCAAAACAGUUCAACAGGACAAGGUAGUCGGUGAGGCUGCAGUAAUGGAAGCAAGGAAAGGAAGCAUCCUCUUCAAUGGGAAAGAGCAUAAUUCUGAGUCAGGAUCUACUUCUGCUACUGCUGCCACAGGUGACAACAGAUUGCAGCAUGAUGAUUUGGAUCAGUCAGGUGGCACUGAGAUGUCUGAACAGACAUCACAGCUGAAGGAGGUUCUGCCCAAUGAAGCAGUAUGGAGGCACCUGAACCCUACUCUGCAUUGUGGUCAAACCCAGAUGAAGUUGAAAGCCAUGGGACCUGGAGCUGCUGACUUGCAGCUAGACAUGGGCACUGCACGUCCUCUUCCACUGAUCCAGGUGCCUAAGACCUGUGGAUACUCCAUGCAGCAGAAUACACUGGGUCUUGUUUUGGUCGUUCCCUAUGAUGGCUGCAACGUGGUACAAGAGAAUGGAAACUAUGUGGUGCCGAUGAGUUGGUUGGGGACUCGAGUUAAAUUAACCUGCCCUGUGUUUCCUGGUCCAAAACCUGUUUCAACCACCCCUAAGCCUGCCCAGCAUCCCUGGAAACAUCCUUUCCCUCACGGGCCUUGGAGCCUUUAUCGUCGUAAACGACAUGCAAAUCACCCCCCUUCCAUGUAUGAUCCUAGCAGCCCAUAUUAUUCCUAUUUGUAUUACUAUUACAUGAAUAUGAUGACACCAGCACCAGCUACAACUACUGCCAAGCCUGACACAACUACUGCAACUACCAAGCCAACUACAGAGAAACCACCUCAAAUUAAGCCUCCUGCAUAUCCUUACUAUCCGUACUACCCAUAUUACCCAUACUAUCCUUAUUACUACCCCUACUACCCUCUCCCAGUGACAACCACUGUGCAACCACCCACUACCACUGGACCUGGCACUAUGACUACUACAACCAGCACGACUACCUCAACCUCGACAACAAAGACUCCUCAAAAACCACCCUAUUACUUUCCAUAUUAUCCUUCCUAUCCCUUUUACCCUCCAGCGGGACAACAGUUCCCCGAAAACCCUGACAACUCUGAAAUUUACUACUACCCAGUCAUCCAGCAUUUCUAUGGAAAGCCUCCAUACUACACUCCAAGUCAACCAACGCAAACAUCUCCAACAACUAAGCCAGAUGACACUGCUAAACCAAGUGACUCUAGUCCUACGACGAAGCCAACAACUGCCUCUGAUCCCACAUCUGCCUCUGCCACCACACAAACAACUCAAACAACAACACCCAGCAGUGGCAACUAUCCAGGCCCAAUGAGUCCAUUUGUUCCUUACUACAGCCUCCCCUUCACUCCGUAUGUUUUAUACAAGGCUGGCAAACGCCCAGAUUACCAGAAAUACAUGCCUCAAGAUGGUUACAAAUCUGGACCCCAGGCUCCAGCAUUCCCACACGCAGGCUUCAACUACUGGCAGCCUGGGCCAUGGUUUCCCCAAUCAUCAGGGCAAGACAGUCCUCAAAUUGACUGGAAAAAUCUACAACCUAAACAAGUCUGAACUCCAAAUGGUAAGGCUAACUUGUAAAAGUUUGCAUUGGUAUGGAUUUAAGAGUCAAGUGUCUCAACCAUAACAGUCUUUCAGGAGCUGGUGUCCUGUAAUACUGAGCAUUCAAUAAACAAGUUUUACGUAGAA